rnacentral:rRNA from 1 species
AUUGAACGCUGGCGGCAGGCCUAACACAUGCAAGUCGAGCGGAUGAAGGGAGCUUGCUCCUGGAUUCAGCGGCGGACGGGUGAGUGAUGCCUAGGAAUAUGCCUGGUAGUGGGGGCUAACGUCAGGAAACGGGCGCUAAUACCGCAUACGUCAUGAGGGAGAAAGGGGGGGAUCUUCGGACCUCACGCGAUCAGAUGAGCCUAGGUCGGAUUAGCUAGUUGGUGGGGUAAAGGCCUACCAAGGCGACGAUCCGUAACUGGUCUGAGAGGAUGAUCAGUCACACUGGAACUGAGACACGGUCCAGACUCCUACGGGAGGCAGCAGUGGGGAAUAUUGGACAAUGGGCGAAAGCCUGAUCCAGCCAUGCCGCGUGUGUGAAGAAGGUCUUCGGAUUGUAAAGCACUUUAAGUUGGGAGGAAGGACAGUAAGUUAAUACCUGGCUGUUUUGACGUUACCAACAGAAUAAGCACCGGCUAACUUCGUG